UCUUAGAAUUAGUAUUUAAGGAAAUAAUUUUUGACUAUAUUAUUUAUUAAAAUGUGUAAAUUCAUAAAAUUUGACUUUUUUCCACAACUUGAUAAUUUAGUUUUGUCUUUUAUGAUGCCUGGACAAUGGAUAUAUUUGAUUUUUACAUAAAUUUUAAUUUGGUGACCAAAGGUGCUUUGGCAGUUUUUAUUAGAAUAGGAAUUAAAUGGAGAAUAUAUCUACUAAAAUAAAAGUAUUACAAGAAGGAUCAUCUAUCCUCUGCAAUAGUAAAGUUGAGGCUUUCAUGGUGCACUAAACAUAUGCCAAAGAUUGCCAUUGUGGUAUUAGAUAUGAAUAAAAAGAAAAUUCCAUUUGUGAUGUCACAAAAUUAAAGAAUUCAUGCUGAAACAGCUGAAGUAAAAUCAUCUAAACAAAGCUGAUGAAGUGUAAGAAACUGAAAAAAUGUUUCAACUUAAAAAAUAUUCAGGGUUUACACAAUGCUAAUCUGUACACAAGGUAAAAUUUUUAAUACUUUUUUUUAUUCAUACUAUCAAAAUGCUGUUUUAAAUAAUAAACAAAAUUUAUAAUUGAUUAUCAAAAAUUAUUACUGAUGAAAUUUUUGUACUAAAUUACCAAUGAAAUUUAAAAUAAGUAGAAAUAUGAUGAUAAAAUUAAUGGAAUUACCGUUUGAAUCCAAUGAUAGUUUAUUGGCUGCUAUUCUUUCUGAACAUAAGCUUACUUUUUAUUAUUAGAUUAUUAUGAGUAGUAUACGUAUGACACAUACUAAUCACAAAAUUAUUUAAUUUUUUAAAUUGUUUCAUAUAAACUUUAAUAUAUGGUA